CGAAACCGAUAGCGAACAAGUACCGUGAGGGAAAGUUGAAAAGUACUCUGAAUAGAGAGUUAAAUAGUACGUGAAACCGCUUAGGGGUUAAGCCCGAUGAACCCGAAUAUCUGAUGUGAGAAAUUCAAUACUGUUCACUCAACGGAUAUUAUGCYCUUUUCGUUCAUAAUACUACGUUGUUGUCCAAUGAUUCUAUGGCUCUUUCAWUUACUGAACAGAUGAUUUAACACACGGACGAGAUGUAUAAGUUUAUUCGAUCUCUGAUGUGUUAACAUGUCAUAUGAAUAAAAUCGUUUUGUACCUGUUUAAAUAGUCGAUGGAUUUUAAGUGAAUCAUGCUUGCAAUUCAUUUUGCGUUUCGUGUUAUCGGCCAUUUGGUUGGUAAUAGCAGAAAUGGCAUGCAUUCGAUUAACAAUGCGAUAGAUUUGGGAUACUUUCAGGACCCGUCUUGA
rnacentral:rRNA from 1 species